CCUACGGGAGGCAGCAGUAAGGAAUAUUGGUCAAUGGACGCAAGUCUGAACCAGCCAUGCCGCGUGAAGGAUGAAGGCCCUCUGGGUUGUAAAUCCUUUCUGGGGACGAAAAGGCGAUCCGAAUACGGUCUGUAUUGACGUAACCCAAGAAAAGCCCGGCUAACUCCGUGCCAGCAGCCGCGGUAAUACGUAGGUGCUAGCUUAAUCGAAAUUACUGGCGUAAACGGGCGCCUAUGCGUUGGGUUACGUCUGCUAAAUCCCCGGCUCAACCUGGAAUGGCGGAAACGGGCUGACUGGGUAUGGAUAGGUGAUGAAUUCCCGUGUAGCAAUGAAUUGGUUGAGAUGUGGAGAACACCGAUAGCAACCAUCCCCUGACAAUACUGACGCUCAUGCACCAAGCGUGGGACCAAAAGAUUAAUUCCCUGGCUAGUCCACCCCUAAACGAUUAAACUAUGUGUUGGGGAAGAACUUCCUAGUACCAACUACACGUUAAUCCUCGCUGUGGGAGUCCGUCGCUAAGGUUCAAACUCAAAGGAAUUGAUCGG
rnacentral:rRNA from 1 species